rnacentral:rRNA from 1 species
CCUACGGGAGGCAGCAGUGGGGAAUAUUGCACAAUGGGCGCAAGCCUGAUGCAGCAACGCCGCGUGCGGGAUGACGGCCUUCGGGUUGUAAACCGCUUUCGCCUGUGACGAAGCGUGAGUGACGGUAAUGGGUAAAGAAGCACCGGCUAACUACGUGCCAGCAGCCGCGGUGAUACGUAGGGUGCGAGCGUUGUCCGGAUUUAUUGGGCGUAAAGGGCUCGUAGGUGGUUGAUCGCGUCGGAAGUGUAAUCUUGGGGCUUAACCCUGAGCGUGCUUUCGAUACGGGUUGACUUGAGGAAGGUAGGGGAGAAUGGAAUUCCUGGUGGAGCGGUGGAAUGCGCAGAUAUCAGGAGGAACACCAGUGGCGAAGGCGGUUCUCUGGGCCUUUCCUGACGCUGAGGAGCGAAAGCGUGGGGAGCGAACAGGCUUAGAUACCCUGGUAGUCCACGCUGUAAACGGUGGGUACUAGGUGUGGGGUCCAUUCCACGGGUUCCGUGCCGUAGCUAACGCUUUAAGUACCCCGCCUGGGGAGUACGGCCGCAAGGCUAAAACUCAAAGGAAUUGACGGGGCCCCGCACAAGCGGCGGAGCAUGCGGAUUAAUUCGAUGCAACGCGUAGAACCUUACCUGGGUUUGACAUGGAUCGGGAGUGCUCAGAGAUGGGUGUGCCUCUUUUGGGGUCGGUUCACAGGUGGUGCAUGGCUGUCGUCAGCUCGUGUCGUGAGAUGUUGGGUUAAGUCCCGCAACGAGCGCAACCCUUGUUUCUAGUUAGUAUUCUAGAAAGACUGCCGAUUAUAAAUCGGAGGAAGGUGAGGAUGACGUCAAGUCAUCAUGCCCCUUACGUCCUGGGCUACACACGUGCUACAAUGGAUACGACAAAAAGUUGCCAAUCUGCGAAGAUGAGCUAAUCUCUAAACGUAUCCCUAGUUCAGAUUGUAGGCUGCAACUCGCCUACAUGAAGGUGGAAUCGCUAGUAAUCGCAGGUCAGCUAUACUGCGGUGAAUCCGUUCCCGGGCCUUGUACACACCGCCCGUCACACCAUGGGAGCUGGUUAUACCCGAAGCUAUUAUCCUAACCUUUGGAGAUCGGAAGAGCGUCGUGUAGGGAAAGAGUGUAGAUCUCGGUGG